rnacentral:rRNA from 1 species
GACGAACGCUGGCGGCGUGCUUAACACAUGCAAGUCGAACGGAAAGGCCCUGCUUUUGUGGGGUGCUCGAGUGGCGAACGGGUGAGUAACACGUGAGUAACCUGCCCUUGACUUUGGGAUAACUUCAGGAAACUGGGGCUAAUACCGGAUAGGAGCUCCUGCUGCAUGGUGGGGGUUGGAAAGUUUCGGCGGUUGGGGAUGGACUCGCGGCUUAUCAGCUUGUUGGUGGGGUAGUGGCUUACCAAGGCUUUGACGGGUAGCCGGCCUGAGAGGGUGACCGGCCACAUUGGGACUGAGAUACGGCGCAGACUCCUACGGGAGGCAGCAGUGGGGAAUAUUGCACAAUGGGCGGAAGCCUGAUGCAGCAACGCCGCGUGCGGGAUGACGGCCUUCGGGUUGUAAACCGCUUUCGCCUGUGACGAAGUGUGAGUGACGGUAAUGGGUAAAGAAGCACCGGCUAACUACGUG